UCUUGUUUAAAGCAUCUUAAAUAUUCUUCUACCUUUUUUCUUUCUUGUACAGAUUCUUAGAUUCAAAACUGGUUAUUCUUGACACUGGUUUCUGAUGUAAUUAGUGUAGUGGUAUGUUUUUCGUAUUCUGUUUUUAACCCUAAAUGAACUUUUACAUACCGUUUUAGUUAGAAGAUCAUUAAUCCUUACUUAGUUACUAUCUUUCUUUCUGAAUUCGAAUUGUUAUAGUCUUUUUCACCACAUGGAUGUGAACUGUUUUGACUAUGAUUUUGAAACAUCCUUUAAUUUUUAAAAACAUGACCAAAAACAUCCCUCUAUUACGUUUUCCAUCCAUUACUAACAGAAGUUUGUUUAUUCAUGUGACCUUUUUACUGUUGUUUCCUUGAAAGUUCCUCAUUCUCCGUAAGAACACUAAAAACUUGCUUUGAUUUGUCUUUCUCCAAGAAAAUAAUUGUCCAUAGUUUUUUCUGCCCAAUUAUAUCUUCCUAUCUCUUUUAGCUUGAAUACUCAAUUUUUCCACGUAUAGUUGUGUAAAGUGGUCUGAUAAAUUGUGUCAUCUUAAGAAGUAUUUAUGGUUUAGAAUUUUGCAUUGAUGGUCUUAGAUAUAAUUUAGGUCAUCUAGAAAGCUGCAGUAAUCAAGUAUGGAAAUGUAACAUUCCACUAAUUGCUAAAGAUUUGUACAAAAUGUCAAAGAAUUACUUUCUCCCUUCAUCUUUAAUUGUUUAGUAUACUAGAGAUAGAUGCCCAAUAAUAUUUAUCUAGCUUGAAAAAUCAAUGGAUAAUUUGUCUUUUUGAGUCAAUUUUACCUAUGCUAUUAAAUUCAUUGAAUUUUUCAAAGCAUUAACUUUAUAAUAUUCAAAUUGUGAUAUAGUAGAAUUGAACCUAUUAUUUAUUGUUUCUUAAGGUAUUUACCAAUUCAGUAUUUGAUAGGUAAAGAUUGACGAAGGGAGUAGUCAUGAGAUAAACAAUGUGCAGAAUGCAACAAAUGUGUAGUAGUGCAAAAUAUAUAAAAUAAUGUACUCCCUAUGUUUCAUUUUACUUGACCCCUAUACUAAAAUAAUUGUGUCAAUUAAAUAUACCAUGAUUUUAUUACUAUUAUUUACUCCUAUCAUACUAAGCCCAAAAUAUCACAACAAAUAAAGUUACAAACAAGACAAAGUUCACUGGAGAAGACAAUUUUAAUUUCUAUGACCCUUUGGAGGCGGGAGAACAAAAACUCUCCAGAAAAAAAAAAUGGUAGAAGCUUGUGUCUUAUAAAACCCCCCUUAGAAUUAGAUAUGGAAGAAGAAAGAAAUGAGUCACGUGAAUAAACAAUUUUUUGUUAGGAAUGGAUGGAAAACAUAUCAGAGGGAUGCUUUUGGUCAAGUUUUUAAAACUUAAAGGAUGUUUCAAGUUAAGUGACAUAUUAUAAGGAUGAAGUUAAAGUUUGGGUGAAACAACAAGGAUGAAUUUGGUCAAAAACUCUGCUAUUGCUCUCUCCUUAAAAAAAAAAAAGACUAUUAGCUGGUUCUACUACAAAGAAUAAAAAAUAUUUCUCAAGCGCUUUGGUGUCUCUUUUCGAAUUUAGUUAGUGAUUCCUAUUUGUGCCUGUAAGUUAAUUCGUGGAAUUAGUAUAUACCAACUUGUAUCUCUUUUCUUAUUAAUUAACUCUCUUGUUUCAGUCAUGUACUUAUGUUCAUUUUCUUACUACAAUGUUAUUUAUGUACUUAGGGGGAACUUCAUAUGAAUGGUCUUUUUCAUUGAUGCAUGAUUAUAGUAUCUUGGCUCACCAGAUUGGUUAAUAGUAUUCAUUGUUUUAACUCUGUUAUUUUGUAUUCGUCAUUCUUCUUCUUUUUUUUUUCAUUUUCACAUGCCAUCUUUGAUAUAGGUUUUCGACGUCACAAGUUGAAUGAAUUGGAAAAAGACCGAAUACAAACAAUUUCUUAUUUCGUUGUCCGCUUCCAAAGUUGGGCCAAGUGCAGCUAAACCAUGCUAAACAGGCAACAAAGUCUGCCAUUCUGAUGAACUUGGAAUCUCGGGUAUCGAUAAUUCAACUGCCUAUACUGCAUUGGCCUGAAUUUGCAGAAGGAUGCAUGUUGUAUAAUAUAUGUGCUUACUGGUGAUGUCUAACUUGUACAUGGUUGCAUCCGAAGUUAUUGACAGACAACUUUUGACAUAUGGAGAGAGGUAUACACUUGAUUCUAAUGUUCUCCUAGCUGACUUAAUUAUUUUAAAAAAUUCGCUGCUCUAAAUCUACGUUGUUAGCUUGAAAGUCGUCUACAGAUUGAUUAAUUAUUUCAGUCCAGUGAUGCAAUUGAAAAUGCGCUUACUUCAUCCGUGGAUGGAGAAUCACCAUGCAAAUAUUUGGUAUCUUUUCAUAUUGGAUUUUUAUGGAGCUGCAGUUGUAAACUUUAAGUUAUUGUAAUCGAGAUUGUUAAUUAUGUGUGACAUGAAUUUAGAUUUGUACUGUUUUGUAUUCGGAAUAUUUUUAAUUUAGUCUAUGUUAUAAGUGGUUUUAUAUUU